rnacentral:rRNA from 1 species
GAGGAGAAGUUAGUAAGAGCGCACGGUGGAUGCCUUGGCGCCAGGAGCCGAAGAAGGACGGGGCGAACACCGAUAUGCUCCGGGGAGCCGUAAGCAGGCAUGGAUCCGGAGAUUUCCGAAUGGGGCAACCCACCAAUGGCAUAACCGUUGGUACACCUGCCUGAAUCCAUAGGGCAGGCUGAGGCAGACCGGGGGAACUGAAACAUCUUAGUACCCCGAGGAGAGGAAAGCAACCGCGAUUCCCUGAGUAGCGGCGAGCGAAAGGGGAACAGCCCAAACCGAAGGGUUACCCUUCGGGGUUGUGGGGCGUCCUGAUGGAGUGAUAAAGGGGAAGCGUAGGCGAAGUGGUCUGGAAUGACCCACCGAAGAGGGUAACAGUCCCGUAUCCGAAACGCCUCCCCCUCCGGGACGGACCCCGAGUACCACGGGGCACGUGAAACCCCGUGGGAAUCCGGGAGGACCACCUCCCAAGGCUAAAUACUCCCUGGCGACCGAUAGUGAACCAGUACCGUGAGGGAAAGGUGAAAAGCACCCCGGGAGGGGAGUGAAAGAGAACCUGAAACCGUGUGCUUACAAGCAGUCGGAGCGUCCAUGAGGCGUGACGGCGUGCCUUUUGUAGAAUGAACCGGCGAGUGACGAUGUCGUGCAAGGUUAAGGUGAGAAGCUGGAGCCGUAGCGAAAGCGAGUCUGAACAGGGCGAAUUGGGUUCCCAAAAAAGUACUACUUUUUUGGGGUCCCUAGUACGUUGUCGUCGACCCGAAACCGGGUGAUCUACCCAUGUCCAGGGUGAAGUUGAGGUAAUACUCAAUGGAGGCCCGAACCCACUGGUGUUGAAAAACCAGGGGAUGAGGUGUGGGUAGGGGUGAAAUGCCAAUCGAACUCGGAGAUAGCUGGUUCUCCCCGAAAUAGCUUUAGGGCUAGCCUCGGAAGAAAGAGUCGCGGAGGUAGAGCACUGAUUGGGCUAGGGGCCUGUCAAGGGUUACCGAACUCAGUCAAACUCCGAAUGCCGUAGACUUGUUAUCCGGGAGUCAGACUGCGAGUGCUAAGAUCCGUAGUCGAAAGGGAAACAGCCCAGACCGCCAGCUAAGGUCCCCAAGUGCAUGUUCAGUGGAAAAGGAUGUGGAGUUGCCUAGACAACCAGGAUGUUGGCUUAGAAGCAGCCAUCAUUCAAAGAGUGCGUAAUAGCUCACUGGUCAAGUGACUCGGCGCCGAAAAUGUAACGGGGCUCAAACAUGCCACCGAAGCUGCGGAUCCAAAUGGAUGGUAGGGGAGCGUCCCCAGGGCGUGGAAGUCGUACCGGAAGGUGCGGUGGAGCGCUGGGGAGUGAGAAUGCCGGUGUGAGUAACGAAAAGAGGGGUGAGAAUCCCCUCCGCCGAAAGCCUAAGGGUUCCUGAGGAAGGUUCGUCCGCUCAGGGUAAGUCGGGACCUAAGCUGAGGCCGAAAGGCGUAGGCGAUGGAUAACAGGUGGAAAUUCCUGUACCACCUUCCGCUGUUUGAGCGACAGGGGGGACGCAGGAGGGUAGGAGAUCGCGCUGAUGGAAAUGCGCGUCCAAGCAGUUAGGCUGAAGGGAUAGGCAAAUCCGUCUCUUCAUAAAGCUGAGCUGUGAUGGCGAGGGAACUAUGAGUACCGAAGUCUUUGAUCCCACACUGCCAAGAAAAGCCUCUAGUGAGGCGGAAGGUGCCCGUACCGCAAACCGACACAGGUAGGCGAGGAGAGAAUCCUCAGGCGCGCGGGAAAACUCUCGUUAAGGAACUCGGCAAAAUGACCCCGUAACUUCGGGAGAAGGGGUGCCCCGGUAGGGUGAUCUUGUGAUUGCUCGAGGGGGCCGCAGUGAAGAGGCCCAAGCGACUGUUUAGCAAAAACACAGGUCUCUGCGAAGCCGUAAGGCGAAGUAUAGGGGCUGACGCCUGCCCGGUGCUGGAAGGUUAAGGGGAAGGGUUAUCCUUCGGGAGAAGCUCUGAACCGAAGCCCCAGUAAACGGCGGCCGUAACUAUAACGGUCCUAAGGUAGCGAAAUUCCUUGUCGGGUAAGUUCCGACCCGCACGAAAGGCGCAACGACUUGGGCGCUGUCUCAACGAGAGACCCGGUGAAAUCGUAGUAUGCGUGAAGAUGCGCAUUACCCGUGACAGGACGGAAAGACCCCGUGGAGCUUUACUGUAGCCUGAUAUUGGAUCUUGGUACGGUUUGUACAGGAUAGGUGGGAGCCAGAGAAGCCGGGCCGCUAGGUUCGGUGGAGGCAAUGGUGGGAUACCACCCUGAUCGUGCCGGGGUUCUAACCGACACCCGUAAUCCGGGUGCGGGACCGUGUCAGGUGGGCAGUUUGACUGGGGCGGUCGCCUCCUAAAGAGUAACGGAGGCGCCCCAAGGUUCCCUCAGCGCGGUUGGAAAUCGCGCAGUAGAGUGCAAAGGCAAAAGGGAGCUUGACUGCGAGACCUACAAGUCGAGCAGGGACGAAAGUCGGGCUUAGUGAUCCGGUGGUACCGAGUGGAAGGGCCAUCGCUCAACGGAUAAAAGCUACCCCGGGGAUAACAGGCUAAUCUCCCCCAAGAGUCCACAUCGACGGGGAGGUUUGGCACCUCGAUGUCGGCUCAUCGCAUCCUGGGGCUGAAGUCGGUCCCAAGGGUUGGGCUGUUCGCCCAUUAAAGCGGUACGCGAGCUGGGUUCAGAACGUCGUGAGACAGUUCGGUCCCUAUCCGUCACGGGCGCAGGAAAUUUGAGAGGAGCCAUCCUUAGUACGAGAGGACCGGGAUGGACGCACCGCUGGUGUACCAGUUGUGUCGCCCGAUGCAUCGCUGGGUAGCCAAGUGCGGAAGGGAUAAGCGCUGAAAGCAUCUAAGCGCGAAGCCCCCCUCAAGAUGAGAUUUCCCAUCCUUUAUGGAGUAAGACCCCUUGAAGAUGACAAGGUAGAUCGGUCCGAGGUGUAAGUGUGGUGACACAUUCAGCUGACGGAUACGAAUCGGUCGAGGACUUCUCCU